UACAGAGGUGGCAAGCGUUGCUCGGUAUCACUGGGCUUAAAGGGCGCGUAGGCGGUGCGGUACGGUUUCGGUGAAAUCCCUCGGCCCAACCGAGGAACAGCCGGAGCUACGGCCGGACUAGAGCGGCAUCAGGGGGACAGUGGAACUCCCGGUGGAGCGGUGAAAUGCGUAGAUAUCGGGGAGGAACGCCGGUGGCGAAAGCGACUGUCUGGGGGUGCGUGACGCUGAGGCGCGAAAGCGUGGGG
rnacentral:rRNA from 1 species